GAUGGAUAUUGAAGACCCUGAAAUGUCUUAUCAAAGGGGGAACAAAAGAGUUCAGAUGACUGACAAAGUUACAAUUAUAAGGUGAACAUCUCUGAAGUGAAAGCUGCACCCCUCAGAAGUAUCACAGUAUUGUAUCUGUCUAGGACGUGAGCUCUGUCACUCCAGGACUUCAUUGAUUUUGAAAAAGGCCCAGGAAGAAAAUUCUAUAUGCUACAAAAAUUCUUGCCUUUUUUCAACCUGUGUAAUCAAAAUUGCCAUCUCGGUUGUUGCCUGGGCAUCUAGACUACUCCACUGUGCAGAAGAGACAGAAGGUACACACAUUAUCCCAGUUCCUCAGGAGUAUAAGCUGUGGACCUUUCUUCAUUGUGUCCAGAGACUCAUCACCAUAAAUAUACAUCAUACAUUUCCUCACACUGCGCGGUUUAGACCUCUGCCAUAAUGGAAUACAGCGGAACCCACCUGUCAGACCUGAUCCUGCCAGGCUUGCCAUAUUGGAUCAAAAGCCCCGGCUUUACUGUACAGCAGGACAGGGCAUCAAACAUUACGACAGCAAAACAUUCUGUAAGUUUGACACUCAAUGAGCCUGUCUUCUCAUGCUGAACUAAAAAGUGUCUUGACACAAUAUGUGACUCAAAGAAGUUUUACAAAAUGUAAACAAAUCUGAAUCACGGAUAAAAAUGAGGGCUGCUCCCUUUCCAUCAAGAGCUUUUGCCAGGCUGAAGAACGGUCCUGCCACAUUCAUUCACUCAGACAGGUGCUGAUAAACGCGCUGUCUGCUGCAGGCAAGAGAAAAAAAAUCCCCGGGCUUUGUGUGUCAACACCCAGGCAGUUCGGGAGACAGGAUGAAAAUAUAUUUAACACACCACAAGAAUGGAUCAAUCAAAAAUAGGACAAAGAGAAAUACUAAUAAAAACAACCCAACAUUUAGACAUCUACUGAAUACUGGAUCUGGCUUGGCAAACCCAUGGCCUGAGCACUUAGAGUACAAAUUCCCAGAGAAGGAAAGGACAGUUCUUGGAUUUAGGGCUGUGGCUCUGCAUUGCCAUGGAGGAGGCAAUAAAUAGCACGAUUCAGUGGAUAGGGCAGAGGUCGGGAAUCAGUGGUGAUUCCCAGGUGCUGUUCCUGACUCUGCCCUUGACCAGUCAUGUGACCAUAGGCACAUCACUUCAUCUCUCUGUGCCUCAGUUUCCUCUUCAGUCUGGCUUGUCUCUUUCAAUUGCCUGCUGUUUGGGGUUGACGCUGUCUUUUGCUAUGUGUAUGUGCAGUGUCUAGUACAGUGAGGUCCUGAUACCAACUGGGAUCUCAAGGUAUUACUGUAACAUUGAUAACCAUGAUAGGACUUAAAAUCUACGUAAUACUUUUGAUCCUCCAUGCACUGUAAAGGCUUGAGUGUGCCUAUCCUUGGGAGGUAUGUGGCAGAGGAGAGAAAGGAGUCAUUCUUUCUAUCCUUCCUACUAGCACCAAAUUUGUGUGUGUGUAUUUUUCAUUGAACAAAGUCCCACUCCUAACCAAGACUGGGCUCACAAUUUGGCCCCUAAUCCUCCCCCUAGCAUGAACCAUGUAACGGGGCACUGGUCAAGGGUCAGGUCUGAGCCCACUUCAGCGAUCCAGGCUGGGCUCAAGCACCUUGUGUUACACAACAGCAGUUUAUGAGUUCCUUGCCCAGAGGCUAUUGACCUGGAAGUGGAGAAAGACUAAAGGAGGACAGACUGCAAAGGAGAGCCUCAGGCCUCCAGCAGGAUAGCAAAGGCCUCCCAGAAAAAAAUAAUCAGAGUUGGACCCCAAACCUGUACCUUGUCCGGCUCCAAAUGCAAAUGGACAGAACGUAAACCCCAUCUAUAAGGGUGUGGGACUCACCCCUGUGG